AGGGGGAAACUGAGCAUGGAAAAAUAAUACAUGCAAGUCGUACGCUUCUUUUUCACCGGAGCUUGCUCCACCGGAAAAAGAAGAGUGGCGAACGGGUGAGUAACACGUGGGUAACCUGCCCAUCAGAAGGGGAUAACACUUGGAAACAGGUGCUAAUACCGUAUAACAAUCGAAACCGCAUGGUUUUGAUUUGAAAGGCGCUUUCGGGUGUCGCUGAUGGAUGGACCCGCGGUGCAUUAGCUAGUUGGUGAGGUAACGGCUCACCAAGGCCACGAUGCAUAGCCGACCUGAGAGGGUGAUCGGCCACAUUGGGACUGAGACACGGCCCAAACUCCUACGGGAGGCAGCAGUAGGGAAUCUUCGGCAAUGGACGAAAGUCUGACCGAGCAACGCCGCGUGAGUGAAGAAGGUUUUCGGAUCGUAAAACUCUGUUGUUAGAGAAGAACAAGGAUGAGAGUAACUGUUCAUCCCUUGACGGUAUCUAACCAGAAAGCCACGGCUAACUACGUGCCAGCAGCCGCGGUAAUACGUAGGUGGCAAGCGUUGUCCGGAUUUAUUGGGCGUAAAGCGAGCGCAGGCGGUUUCUUAAGUCUGAUGUGAAAGCCCCCGGCUCAACCGGGGAGGGUCAUUGGAAACUGGGAGACUUGAGUGCAGAAGAGGAGAGUGGAAUUCCAUGUGUAGCGGUGAAAUGCGUAGAUAUAUGGAGGAACACCAGUGGCGAAGGCGGCUCUCUGGUCUGUAACUGACGCUGAGGCUCGAAAGCGUGGGGAGCAAACAGGAUUAGAUACCCUGGUAGUCCACGCCGUAAACGAUGAGUGCUAAGUGUUGGAGGGUUUCCGCCCUUCAGUGCUGCAGCUAACGCAUUAAGCACUCCGCCUGGGGAGUACGACC
rnacentral:rRNA from 1 species